UAGGACUAUGAGUGCUAGGGCUACAUUCACAUUGUCUGCACGUUGCAGGUGGUGUCUUACUAGUACUCCACUUAAGAAUAAUGUGCAAGAUCUUUACAGCCUUUUUAAUCACAAUG